AUUCCCAGCUCGUCCACCACGUUGACAUUCGUCCGUGCACACGCGUGCGGCCGUUCUGCCUUCCACUUUGGGGGCAACGGUGUGCCGGACGGUCGCCAGUCGACCAACUUUAGCAACGUCACCACGACAGCCAGUGA
rnacentral:sRNA from 1 species